rnacentral:tRNA from 1 species
GCUCGUGUGGUGUAGCUCGGCCCAUCAUGACGGACUCUCGAUCCGUCGACCCGGGUUCAAAUCCCGGCACGAGCA